GUUUAUCUGGCCCAGACACCAGAAAGACUCAAAUAGGCUGAAUCUAGAGACAGGAAAAGCAUUGGUGAGGCUGGAGUAGUAUCCUAUGGGUCAGAGGAAAGAGGACUGAGAAGGCUAACAACGAAGGGACAGAUGCCAGGGGUACAGCAGGUGAGAGAGUGGGAGGAGAUAGAGAAGACUGUGUAGACUCAAACCCUGGGCAACAGACAGGAGGAAGAAUCAUUAACAAGGCAGAGAAGUGAAGAGAGUGGUAGCUUAGGGCAUUUGAAAGACAGAGUAGGCCAGUGUGGCUAGAAUUGAGUGAGUGAGGCCGAGACAG
rnacentral:lncRNA from 1 species